AAACUCCGUAUGAGUCUUUUGCUUUGUAUCUUCUAACAAGGAGAUACUACUUAGGCUUUCCAGAUCCAGUUAAGA
rnacentral:sRNA from 1 species